CUCAAGUAUAUUUUGUCAAUUUCCUUUAUUUAGAGAUACAGAGAAAGAUCUCACAUGUUUUUACUGUUCUUGGUAUUUAUUGCAGCGCUCCUGUGUUAAAAUGUGGAAGUCAAUAUGGCUCAAGACCAUUAAGUCAGACUGAGCUAUCAACCGUCUGCAGAAACACAAUCUGGUUUGCUGGGCAGGGAUUUAUCCAAUAGAGAACUAUUGAUUCUCCUUAUAAAGAAAGGGAAGAAGAGUAAAACAGGAUUGAGACAUCCCACUAAGGACACCUCCAGUCCCAUCUCCAGUGCCACUCAGCAAUCCAGGCAAUUCUGGGGAUGCAGUGCCCCUUUCCAUGGCCCCAGUGGGAGUUCAGCAUCCCCUGAGCAGGGCUGUGACCGGCCUCAGGAACACCCUGGUGAAGUUCUGGUUGGACAUACGCUGCUGUGUUCCUGUCUGCUCAGGAAAAGUGUGACAUUGUGGUUUCCUUGAAAUGCUCACCUUAAGACCACUUGGAAAUCUGUAAAUAUACUGCU
rnacentral:lncRNA from 1 species